GAGACAGGCACACACAUCAAACACAGUGUGUGUCAUGGUACAUGACACUGUUGUGUGAUAGCUGGUGUGUAAACGCUCCUGUAACAGACUGGAUCUGGCAGUGGAUUUAAGAGAGAUGGUUUCUCUAACAACGGAGCUUGAGCUGUUGACGAUUGUGUUUUCCAUCCUGGUCUUCACCCUCUUCACACUCACCGGGAUGAUCAAAGAGGAAUAUCCACACUGGAAUGAGAUGAAUGUGAAACCACAGAGUGAGGAGGUGACGGUGUGAGGGGCCUGAGAACUGAGGCGGAAACCUCAGAAGAUAACGAAAUGUUUUUACUGUUCAGUUCCUCAGAAGCACACAUUAUCAACAGCCUUGAGUCUGACUGUAAGGUUUUAUCAGUUCCUAGAACAAAGCCUGUCAGAGUGACCUCUGAACAUGCCUGUGUGUGUGUGUGAGUGUGUGUGUGUUUGUGUGCUUUGUUAGAGGAUCUAAGGAGUGGCCUACGUUAUGUACUGUAAAAAAAAAAAAAUCAUUAAAGGAUCACCUGCUUCCACAAACCAAUACAAAACAGUCUCUCAUUCCUGCUGUUGAUCCUUGUUUGAAUGUGAAGACAGGAAUAAAAAAAAAAAGAGCUCUUGGAACAGGAACCGAUUGUGCAAAUCUUCU